rnacentral:rRNA from 1 species
AUUGAACGCUGGCGGCAUGCCUAACACAUGCAAGUCGAACGGCAGCACGGGAGCUUGCUCCUGGUGGCGAGUGGCGGACGGGUGAGUAAUGCAUAGGAAUCUGCCCAGUAGCGGGGGACAACUUGGGGAAACUCAAGCUAAUACCGCAUGCGCCCUACGGGGGAGAGCGGGGGACCUUCGGGCCUCGCACUAUUGGAUGAGCCUAUGUCAGAUUAGCUUGUUGGUGGGGUAACGGCCUACCAAGGCGACGAUCUGUAGCUGGUCUGAGAGGACGAUCAGCCACACUGGGACUGAGACACAGCCCAGACUCCUACGGGAGGCAGCAGUGGGGAAUAUUGCACAAUGGGCGAAAGCCUGAUGCAGCAAUGCCGCGUGUGUGAAGAAGGCCUGCGGGUUGUAAAGCACUUUCAGUAGGGAGGAAACAGUAGCCGGUUAAUAUCCGGUUGCCUUGACGUUACCUACAGAAGAAGCACCGGCUAACU